rnacentral:rRNA from 1 species
GACGAACGCUGGCGGCGUGCCUAAUACAUGCAAGUGGGACGCAAGGAAACACACUGUGCUUGCACACCGUGUUUUCUUGAGUCGCGAACGGGUGAGUAACGCGUAGGUAACCUGCCUAUUAGCGGGGGAUAACUAUUGGAAACGAUAGCUAAUACCGCAUAAUAUUAAUUAUUGCAUGAUAAUUGAUUGAAAGAUGCAAGCGCAUCACUAGUAGAUGGACCUGCGUUGUAUUAGCUAGUUGGUAAGGUAAGAGCUUACCAAGGCGACGAUACAUAGCCGACCUGAGAGGGUGAUCGGCCACACUGGGACUGAGACACGGCCCAGACUCCUACGGGAGGCAGCAGUAGGGAAUCUUCGGCAAUGGACGAAAGUCUGACCGAGCAACGCCGCGUGAGUGAAGAAGGUUUUCGGAUCGUAAAGCUCUGUUGUAAGUCAAGAACGUGUGUGAGAGUGGAAAGUUCACACAGUGACGGUAGCUGACCAGAAAGCGACGGCUAACUACGUG